UAGAGACGGAUAGCAACCACGUGAUCAGUAAAAAUCGUGUAUAUUCACGUGAAUUUAUUUUCCGGAAUUCCGUACACCGUCAUAGAGUAGUUGAAAAACAUAAAGGGGUUCCGAAAGUACAAGUUGUUGCUGUGACUGACUCGAUGAUUGAGGGGGUCGUCUCGACGAAAGAUAGAGACAGUUGGCCAUAGUUUAGAUUAGGAAUACGUCAAUGUAAUAAUAGUGGACCAAAUGUUUCGUCUGUGCAGAAUGGCACUUUUUACCUCACGACCAUGCAUAGCUGCGCUACGUAAACAAUUUUACAAAGUUGUUGAUGUAGCGUGAUCGUGAUGUCCGACUCCGAGUGCUGCGAGUUUCAAUACUGUUUAUGUAGUCAUUGAGAGUUUAAACAAAGUUUCUUCUGAGAAGAGGAAUUCGAUGGAUGCAUUCAACGUGGACAACGAGAUUAUAAUUUUGUUUGUGUCAUCCUAAGGACCAGUGCAAGUUGAAAUGGGCUUCGAGUCAACAACUUCAACAGCAAUUUGCCUUGAAAAUCAGCAAGAAAGGUACUUCAUUUACAUUGAUGAUGUCAUAUCCCCUGGACCCCACAACUUUACAGGUUACAGAGAAAAUUCAAGAACUUCUGCACAAUGUGGGAGAUGGAUAGAAUCAAUAAUGUAUUUGUGAGCCCAGAUAUAUUGUGCAACAUACUAAAGUGUGAAUUUAAUUGAAAACAAGUACAUGUACUCAUGUAUACUAUUAUAUGUCUUUCUUAAAGACAAUAAUAUUACAUAAAUGUAGAUGAAGUGUCAUUGUUGAUUAUUCUAAGUUUUUGAUAUAUCAAAAUCAGUAAACAUUUCUAAAUGAAAAUAAAAUACCAAUUUUAUAACUUUUAA